rnacentral:lncRNA from 1 species
GAAGGAAAACAAGAGCCUUGCAACAACCUCCUAUCACUGUUGUGCAAUCCAGAUUCAAGCCUUUGGUGGCUCUGGGAAAGUGACAGGAGCUCUGCUUGACACCAUUAACCUUGACCGUCAGGGUAUUUCUCCCCUGGCAACACAGAUGAGCUGGUCAUGAAACACCUACAGAUGACGUCUAGCCUUGAAAAUGCCUGUAAACUCCAUACCUUGACAAUUUUCAGCACCAUUUUCCAGAACAUUCAAAAAGAGGUAGCUUUCAAAGAAUCCCCCUGUUCCUCACCCUGAAAGCUUCAGGAUAGCCAACAAGUCUGGGUACAAGCUUGGUAUCUACUUUGCUCACACCAGACCUCCUGAACAUCAGAGUAUCAAGAGCCAGAACUUUGUUUCCUGGCCAUCUCCAGCUGUUAUUG